GCCCAGUGGUGAUUCAUGAUANCUCCUCGAAUCGCAUGGCCUUGUGCCGGCGAUGGUUCAUUCAAAUUUCUUCCCUAUCAACUUUCGAUGUUUGGGUAUUGGCCAAACAUGGUUGCAACGGGUAACGGAGGGUUAGGGCUCGACCCCGGAGAAGGAGCCUGAGAAACGGCUACUACAUCCAAGGAAGGCAGCAGGCGCGCAAAUUACCCAAUCCCGACACGGGGAGGUAGUGACAAUAAAUACUGAUACAGGGCUCUUUUGGGUCUUGUAAUUGGAAUGAGUACAAUUUAAAUCCCUUAACGAGGAACAAUUGGAGGGCAAGUCUGGUGCCAGCAGCCGCGGUAAUUCCAGCUCCAAUAGCGUAUAUUAAAGUUGUUGUGGUUAAAAAGCUCGUAGUUGAACCUUGGGCCUGGCUGGCCGGUCCGCCUCACCGCGUGUACUGGUCCGGCCGGGCCUUUCCCUCUGUGGAACCCCAUGCCCUUCACUGGGUGUGGUGGGGAAACAGGACUUUUACUGUGAAAAAAUUAGAGUGCUCCAGGCAGGCCUAUGCUCGAAUACAUUAGCAUGGAAUAAUAGAAUAGGACGUGUGGUUCUAUUUUGUUGGUUUCUAGGACCGCCGUAAUGAUUAAUAGGGACAGUCGGGGGCAUCAGUAUUCAAUUGUCAGAGGUGAAAUUCUUGGAUUUAUUGAAGACUAACUACUGCGAAAGCAUUUGCCAAGGAUGUUUUCAUUAAUCAGGAACGAAAGUUAGGGGAUCGAAGACGAUCAGAUACCGUCGUAGUCUUAACCAUAAACUAUGCCGACUAGGGAUCGGACGGUGUUAUUUUUUGACCCGUUCGGCACCUUACGAGAAAUCAAAGUGCUUG
rnacentral:rRNA from 1 species